GGCGAACGCUGGCGGCGUGCUUAACACAUGCAAGUCGAACGGAAAGGCCCUGCUUUUGUGGGGUGCUCGAGUGGCGAACGGGUGAGUAACACGUGAGUAACCUGCCCUUGACUUUGGGAUAACUUCAGGAAACUGGGGCUAAUACCGGAUAGGAGCUCCUGCUGCAUGGUGGGGGUUGGAAAGUUUCGGCGGUUGGGGAUGGACUCGCGGCUUAUCAGCUUGUUGGUGGGGUAGUGGCUUACCAAGGCUUUGACGGGUAGCCGGCCUGAGAGGGUGACCGGCCACAUUGGGACUGAGAUACGGCCCAGACUCCUACGGGAGGCAGCAGUGGGGAAUAUUGCACAAUGGGCGGAAGCCUGAUGCAGCAACGCCGCGUGCGGGAUGACAGCCUUCGGGUUGUAAACCGCUUUCGCCUGUGACGAAGCGUGAGUGACGGUAAUGGGUAAAGAAGCACCGGCUAACUACGUG
rnacentral:rRNA from 1 species